AUUACUUUCUUCUGAGAAAAAUUUUAGGAUUGAUAUUACUCAUUUCAAUCCUAGUCCUGAAGUUACAAGUAUAAUUAGUUGUAUACUGAGAUACAGUGAUGAAAAUAUGAAUUAGGAAAAAGUAUACUGUCAUUCAGAAUUGUGACAAAUAAUAGUAUAUAGACAUUUGAGAAUUUUCUAUUUGAUCACAAAGAAUUAAUACUUAGGACCUUAACUAGGAACUUGAGUAAUGCAGUCUUCUGCCAGGGGCACUUGGUAGCCAACAAUUUAUAUCAGCCCUAAAAGUUGUCAUAUUCAAAAAUCUCAGAAUCUGUACUAGCACCAGAUACACCGGAGUAGGGGUGGAGCCUUCCUUUCUUUAUGACUGACCAGACCAUUUUCAUAUUAAAUAGAUAGCUCUUAACAUCUCUCUUAAUGGACUUGAAGCCUACACAGGUAAAAGCUUGAAGGCCUGCUGAAGUGGUAUAAAGUGCUACUCCUCCUACUCUGCACAUUUUCUUUCCCCGUUUGGAUUCAAUCACACACUCAGCCCUGGAACUAACCUGGUGCUUGAAAAUGUCCCACAAGCGUUAUAUUAAGAUCAGGCCACUUUUUCUCACAACCUAAAGGUAUCACUAGUUCAUAACUAAAGGAAAUCUCCAGGCACAGCCAGGCAUAGUCUACUUUAUAGCUCCAUUAGGAACAUGAGAAAAGGAAGAAAGGAAUUUGCGUAGCUGUUUCUAAUCAGUUAAGUCAAAAUACCUUCUCCUAUUGAAGAAUUAGUAUUAAAGUAUUUUAAAUAUUUGUGAUUAAUUUUAUCUACACUAUUCCUGUUUAAAUUAGGUUUUUAGCCAAAAAUACAGCUUAUUUUGCAAAACUGACUUGUCUGUGUAAGUUUAGUAAACUCUUCUCUCAGUGUUCAUGAUGUGCACUAGCAGAUGGCCAUAAGUAAUCUUGACUUUCAAGUGAAUCUUCUCACAUUAAAACCACGCUUUUAAAAAGGGAAAAUAUUAAUAAAUAUUAAAGAAUAUUACUGUAAUUAUUUUAAAUUUAAUAUAUCAUUUCCCAAAAAAAUAAGAAUUUUAAUAUAUUUAAAAGGUGCAUAUCUUGAAAAGUAGCAGAAAUUCUUUGCUUUAUGAAAAACCCAAAUACUUGUUGAAAAAUUUUCAGGGCAGAGGAACCCAAUAGUGGAAACGCUCUUUUGAUUCUAUACUCAGCUGAAUUUUUUUUUUUUUUUUGAAAAAUCUUUAGGAUUGAAACGAAACAAUAUUUAGAAUAUUAAUUGGGAUUUUUUUUCUGCAAAUGACCCUCUAAGUUGGUCCAGCUCCAGGCCAGAAACAUUGUACAUUAUGCAUUUGCUUCUGAAGCCUUACAACUAUUGAAUAAACUAGAGUCUCCAUGGGGUCAAUUUGCCCAAUCUAUAAUUUUAACAUUAAUAUCAUAUAUUUAAUUAUACACAUGCAACAGAAAAUACGUUGAUGUUGGGAUCAAAUUAAGUUAGGCAACAUCAUUAAUAGCAUCUUGUGUUUGAAGUUUAUUCACAGCAUAGAACUGAGAAGUUCAAAGAGAAUACGACCAGAAAAACAAAUUAGAAAAGAUCCUGUCAUGCCUAAUUCCAUAUAAUAGAAAAGGAAGCAGUAAAAUUUAGAAAUACUUUUAGGUUAUUCAAAAUGGAUUCUUUGCAAAUGAUAUUUGUCAAAUCAAUUUUAAAACAUACUGUAGAUGCAGACAAGACAGAUAAUUAAUCACAAAAAAAUGUUAAAUAUAUUCACUUUCAUCUGUAACUAAAACAUUAAAAUGACAGAGUUAGUGUUCAAAUACCUGUGUGUAUCAACUGUAGAUUGUGGAACUUUCUUAAAAUUGGACGACUUUUAAUCUUUUCUUAUAAGUGUCAUUCUCAAAAUUCGUAGGAAAUCAUAAGACAGUGUCUAUGUAAAUAGCACAUACAUUGAAUCUGAAGUAAAAGUCAGCUAAAAAGCAGCAGAAGUUUAGACAUAUAAACCUUACAUCUGAAUACAAAUACUAUUUGCUACUUUUCAAUUCAAUUUCAUUGCUAAUUUAUCUUUAACAAAGCAGCAUCUAACUCAUAAUACAGAUUUACAAUAAUCAAUAACUGUGCUGAAGCACUAAUUCAUUUUGAGUUUUGAAUUGGUCAUAUGUGAUUGGUCAUUGGUCAUAGUUAAAGACUGUCAUAUGUAUUCCAGACCAAUGUAAAUUAAUGCCUAAUAUCCAUUCCUCUUAGAUGGGAGACUAAGGACCUGGGUUUACGGUGUAGCCGCUGGGGCAUUUGUGUUACUCAUCUUUAUUGUCUCCAUGAUUUAUCUAGCUUGGUGAGUGUUUAAAUGUUUAAAAAUUUAAUGUCUCUAUUUCAAAGAAAACACUUUCAGUUGCCUAUAACUCUGGAAAAAAAACUAAUGCCUGAAAUAAGUAUACUGUAUUUAUUCACUGUUCACAUAAAAUUCUAAAUAAAUAAGACUUUAGUCUUAAAAAUCUAAAAAAAUCUGGGCCAUGUAAGUCUCUUGAGAUAAAUCAUAAUUGUUUUAGAUCAUCUUUUCAAGUUUGCUACCUUGUAAGUAUACCAAGAAAGAUGCUUUAUAUGGACUGUGGUGAAUUAUACAUUUUUAUAUUGAAUUACUACUGGAGAAAGAUGUUAUGGUAAUACAUAAUCUUAUUCAAUCAUCUUGGCAAACAUGUAUCAUUUAUAAAUUGUACAUUAUUUAUAAAGUUUUGUGGCCAAGUACAGAUGAUUAUACUAUAAUCUUGCUUCUGUUGUUUGUACUAAAGGACACAAGGAUAAUUUGUCUUUUAGAGGAUAGUAAAAUACUUGAAACUUAUUUAACAUUUUUUCCAAAACACAAAACUGUGAAAUUUAGAGACCAGAACGCCAAAUUCUAAGGUUGAAUUUAGUAUGGCAGGAAAGUGGGCAAUUUAGGUUGAUCAAUUCAUUUUGCUUAUUUUUAAAAUAUAAGAUGAUAAAAAUUACAAUUGAAGAUUGAUAUUUUCUUUCUCCCAAUUUUAAUGAAUUUCUUACAGCAAAAAGCCAAAGAAACCCCAAAGAAGGCAAAACAACCGACUGAAACCUUUAACCUUAGCUUAUGAUGGAGAUGCAGACAUGUAACACUUAACUUUCCUGGCAACAACCAGUUUUGGCUUUCUGACCUUGUUGUAGAUAUCCAGAGGCUGCAGCAACAUUAUCCAAACUCUGUGGAUUAUAAUUCAAUUUAACUUAAAAUAAAAGAAAAUGAAAAUGAAAAUCAUGCUGCCACUGAGCUAUUCAAGAUAGCACCACUAACAUAUAAGCCAACAACAUUCAGAAUUCUAGAAGUUUGUCAUCUUUUAUGUCAUCUUUUCUGAAAUCUACCAAUUGAAAAACCACUUUCAUUUCUAAAAUAUAGUGGUAAAAUUGGCCAUUGGAUGCCUGACACAAGGCUGUUUGCAAUGAUAGCCCACAGAACAUUCUAGCAUGAAGAGUUUGUAACAAGACCUCUACAAUACUACAGUAAAGCAUAACAACAUAUAUACUCAAUUGAUUGACACACAUUGUAAUGUCAUAUUAUAUACUUGUCAAUAAGCAACUUUAACAGUGAAGAAGAGAAAAGUUCCAAGCUAAACAGAAAAUCCAUUGAAUAAGUUCAGCAUCUUCCUGGUUUGAUGGUUGCUUUUAUUGACCUGCAUUUCAGAGACAGAGACUCUUUUAUAAGACUCACUCUUGGCUCUCUCCAAUGUACGAAUGCUGGACAUGUACUAGUAUCUUAGAAGAAAGAGUCCUCAAGUUCAGUAUUUUAUAGUGGUUAUUGUCUGGAAAGCUAAAUUGCUUGUGUUGAUACAUUUCUACUUUCCCUGAUUUUCAAACUGGUUGCCUGCAUCUUUUUUGCUUAUGGAAGGCACAUUUUUGCACUAUAUUAGUGCAGCAUGAUAGACACUUACUUAACCAAUAUGCCAUAGAAACUGCCUCUUUUCAUAUGGGAUGAAGACAUCUUUGCCAAGAGUGUCAUGGAGACUUCUGCAAGUUCUUGUAUCCUGAAGAGAGUAAAGUUCAGUUUGGAUGGCAACAGGAUGGAUUCAGCGGUUACCUGCUGUAUACACUGUUCCUUGGCUCUGCAGCCAUUGUAAAACUGACAACAUAGUGGUAUCUUAAGCCCCUUAACCCCCCAAAAGGUGGAUCCCUCUAGUUGGUUUGUAAUUGUUCUUUGAAGGCUCUUUAUGACUAGAUUUUUAUAUUUGUUAUCUUUGUUACAAAAAGAAAAGAAAAGAAAAGAAAAAAAGAAACUGCUUGUCUUUUUAAUUUCAGGAAGAUGGAGAAGAAGGUAAUCUCAUCAAUGAUUUUUGUAACUAAAAGAAAUCAAAAGUAUGUGUUGAUUUUUCUUUCUCCCUGAUUUGCUCUCUCGGUUUCAGAGUGAAGGACUGUCUUGUAGGCAGUAUGUCAAAAUCCAUAGUCUUUUGUCUUUCUUACUAGUAAAAUUUGAACCAGUCUUUUAUUGUAGAAUUUCAAAACCUAAACUUUAAAAAAUAUAUAUAUUAAAAAUCUAGACCAAGGGCGGCAACCCUUUUCUAUAAAGGAUCAGACAGUAAUUAUUUUCAGCCCGGUCUUCAUUGCAGUUUCUCAACUCUGACAUUGUAUAAUGUUGCCAGAGAUGACACAAAAGAAGAAAAAGGAUGAAUAUGGCUGUUUUCCAGAAAAACACUUUUUAAAAGCAGCCAGCACACCACAUUUACAGAUUCUAGUUUGCCGACAACCACUCCAGAUGGUUUUAAGUCUAACUCUCCGUUGCAUCUUUAGUUUUCAUUCAUUUAUGCUCUGUCACCAGUGUUUAAUUUCAAAGGUGAAAAUUCAGGCAUUAAACUUACAUUGCACUAGAAGUAGUUAUAUUUGUCACAGAUAUAGCUCUGAGAUUGCACAGUGGGACAGUUUCUAACUUAGGAUAACUCCGUUUUAUGAAAAGAAAGCUUGAAUGGUGACCUUAAAAAGCAGCACUGUUUUUUAGGCAAUAUUGACUGUAACAACCUUUGGGAUCAGGGAGAAUGUUAGGUUUUCAUGUCUUUUAAAAAUUGUAAGCAAGUUAUUCCAUCUUAAACAUAGUCAUGUAGCUAUAAAAGUGCUUGGGAUUAUAAAGCAUUUUCCCCUCACAUACUAUACAGUGGAUUUUGAUCUCCCCCUGCUGUCCACUAGAGUAUUUGCAAAGAUUACAAAAGAGAUUAGAAUGUCCCCCAAAUGAAAAUAUUUCUACAUAUUGCAAUAGGAACUGUUGUAAGCAUUCAUUCUUUAUCCAAUAUUCACUAUAUUAAGCAAUGGAAAUAUUUCAAAGAUAACAGGUAGUCAGUAAGAUAAGAAAUUUUAUUUUAAACCAAGGACUCAACCAUGGAAAAACAUAAAAACAAAGUCCAUUUUAUCUUUUUUAAUGGAAGAGAAAGAAGUAAUAUUGUUAUUCUAAAAUGGUGAGGGUCAAUAUAUACACUCAGGAGGCUUCCAGAUAAUACUCAAAUUGAUCUCUUUGGUAAAAUGUACUCCAUUCAUCCAAAACGGUUGAGAAAAAAAUCUAUUAAAAUUACUUGAAAAAUUGCAAAAGUCUUAUGAAAUGUAUGCAACACCUAGUAAUUUUGAAAAGGGGAAUAGAAUAAAAUACUGUUCCUACAAAAGCUGUACUUAAGAUAUUAUAAAAUGUAACUUAUUCAAAAGACAAAUCAGUAUUAUCCUGCCUAGGUUGUAAGAAAUAAAUGAAUUAAGAGAUCAAAAAUUAUAAAGUGUUAUAAAAAUAUAAGACAUUAUAUCCCAAAAUUGAUGACAUCUUACAGCACUAUAUAUGUGGAAGACAUUAGGUGCUAUGUGAACCAAUGCCAGGGAACAUACUAGAUGCUUAUUGUUAAUAUAAAUUAAUACUAGAUGGCCUCUUAUGACAUGAAAAAAAGGGAAGAUCACUAUUUGGCCAGUUUGAACAAGUGGAGAUUAUCAUAUUUAUGUUUGUUUGUUUUUUGGCAUGAGUUCAUAAUGAGUUAAAUACUGGAAAUUCAUCAAAACCUUAUUCUUUGUGCUCAUUCUAAGAAUUUAGGAGGUGAACAUGGUAAAUUGUCUACUAACACUUUUGCCUUGACAAAAUGCUCUGAGCCCAAAAAGGUUUAGAGAUACUGUUCUAUAAGCAUGAAGAUCUGCUUGGUUUAAAAAAAAAGAAAAGAAAAAUAUUGUUAUAUGAUUAUGUUGGACUAUUUCAGUAGAAACCAUGUAGAAGUGGCAUACUUAUCUCUCUUGAAAGGGACUGAUUUGCUUAUUUAUCAAUACCUCAUUCAGUUCAUUGACUAUAAUCCUAAUUUCAAAGCCUUUUUGAGGACACUACAGUGGAGCUUAAGCUACUAAAGGGAGCGCAUAAAAGCAUGUCUCAAUUACUUAUAACUAAGCACAAUUUACAUAUAAGAAAUAUUUAUUGAAUUAUUACAUGUAAAACACUCUGCUAGGCACCAUGAAAACUAAUAAUGGCUUUUGGAAACAUAGGUACCUAAGACAUUCAGAAGAAGGAAAAGAAGCUUAAGGAGUAACGAUAGCGCUUGAACACAUUGUCCUUUACUCUGGAUUUGCUUAUAGAUGUGGUUAGUAUUUUUCUAUAUGUAAUGUGACUUAGGACACGCUAUCAAAAGCUUAAUGUUUUUCCUCCUCCACCCCAGAUAGAUGGAAAUGGUCAUUGUGACUUAAUCAGAAACCUGUAAAGUUCCUGGCCAUUCAAAGAUGAAGUCAUUUCUUACAUGAAGCCAGUGGCAACUCUCACAUGUUUAUUUACCUCCUCCAACUUUGGUCCUUUAUGAUCUUCUCUUCCUGGUAUCUCUCUACAUUUCUCUCUUAUCAAUGACUGAUCUUGUCUGUGUCCCUCAGAAGCACCUUCCACUGACCAUGCUCAGUACUUUAUUUAAAAAAAAAAAAGUAGAGAACACUUAUAUUUCCUUCCUGUUGGAAUCAAAGUGUCACUUAGAGUGUGAGCAUCUUGGUUAAACAGAAUGCACUGGUCAAAGAAGUGAGAAAAGGGCAAGGAAAGCUGUGGAGGAUGUGCAAAAGAAAAAAAAAAACUUUUUCUAUUAAAAAAAAAUACCGUCAAUUCUUACCCUCGCUUUAUUGGUGCCCUGUAUCCUCUUAGCCCCCUGUUUCUGUCUGUGUCUCUGCUCACUUCCCACCCUACAAGACAGUGAGGGAGGCCUAUGCUUUUCAGUACUGUGAAGCAAGAAGAACCCAUUCCUAGGUGGGUUUGGGGUCUGAAUAUGCAAGGAUCAUGCUUCUCAUGUUUCUUGCUCUAUUUCCCUUCCAAGAUGGAGGGUUCCAAAGGACAGCAGUCUGUGAACAACUCUAAGGGAAUCUUGCAGAGCAUGGUUUUCCUGGGUCUAGGUUAGAUGUGAGAACCACACCUGCCUGUUCUCGUGAUAAUUGUUCCACCUGGUCCUACCCUCAGAUGUCCUUGGCUGUGCAGCUGGACUUCAGGCAUCUGACACUGGAGAGUGGGCCUUGCAAAUGGUUAUUCUUUUAUGAAAAGGGUAUUUUACAGUGUGAAAUGAUAAUUCCAUAUCUAGCAAGGACACUGAAAAAUGGUCAUGCCUACUUUAUUAAGUGAAUAAAACAAAUGCUAAGUGAAUAGUUAAUUUUGCAGGGUUGUUUGUUUGUUUGUUUGUUUGUGUAUUUCUGCCAAGCCACACCAUUAAACAGAAAGACUAUGAAGAGUUUUAGUUUGUGGGAGUUAAGAUUUUAGUGAUCAAAAAUCUCUAUUCUAUUUAGAAUGUAACAAGGUGUCCUUUUUAUGGUUGUGUUCUAUAGGUUUUUUUUUUUUUUUCUUUAAGUAAUAGCUUUUAGAUUACCUAUUUCAAGCCUCAAUAAACUUUUCCCAACUACUUUUAAGGAAUCUAAUUGUGUUUACUUUUAGAAAAUAAACAUUUAGAUUCCUUUUCUGGUACUUUUUCCUACCCAUUUCUAUAGCAAUUUGAAGAGAUCAGUAUCUGCCAUUGUAAAAUACAACUUUAGUAAAUUUAUGAUCUUUCUAUAAAUUAUAAUCCCCUAAAUGUGUAUUUUUUGUUAAUUUAACUACCUGAGUAUUUAUUUUGUUUAAAUAAGGAGGCAGCUGUCUAUGAGUUCUUUGUUAAUAUUACUUUGUAAAUUGUGUAAUUUAUUUUAAAUUAUGUAUAUUUCUUUUAUAACGCACAAAAUGUCUAUGUACAAUUAACUACAGAUUUGCAAAUAAACAAUGUCACUAAGCUUUAUUCAGUUAAUACAGAAUGGCAUGUGAAGAUGUAAUAUGAUUUUUUUACAUUUUCAUAUGGAUUAUUUGUAAAUAACUAUAUUGCUGAAAACAUAAACAUGGAAGUCAUUUUCAUUCUAAUCAUGUGAUUAUGUGUGUCUGUGUUUUAAUUUGCUUCAUAAAUGUGGGUGGAAUAUUUUUUUCAGUGAAUAUCCAAAUCACAUUACUACUGAUAUUACCCUUUCCCGAGUAUUUUUU
rnacentral:lncRNA from 1 species